rnacentral:piRNA from 1 species
UNGUUGGUGCAUUGAACUAAAGCCUUUUGU